rnacentral:rRNA from 1 species
GACGAACGCUGGCGGCGUGCUUAACACAUGCAAGUCGAACGGAAAGGCCCCUUCGGGGGUACUCGAGUGGCGAACAGGUGAGUAACACGUGAGUAACCUGCCCUUGACUUCGGGAUAACUUCAGGAAACUGGGGCUAAUACCGGAUAGGAAUCCUUGCUGCAUGGUGGGGGUUGGAAAGCUUCGGCGGUUUUGGAUGGACUCGCGGCUUAUCAGCUUGUUGGUGGGGUAGUGGCUUACCAAGGCUUUGACGGGUAGCCGGCCUGAGAGGGCGACCGGCCACAUUGGGACUGAGAUACGGCCCAGACGCCUACGGGAGGCAGCAGGGGGGAAUAUUGCACAAUGGGCGGAAGCCUGAUGCAGCAACGCCGCGUGCGGGAGGACGGCCUUCGGGUUGUAAACCGCUUUCAGCAGGGGCGAAGCUUGUGGCGACGGUACCUGCAGAAGAAGCACCGGCUAACUACGUG